GGAAGAAGUACAAGUUAGCUACAAAAGAUGGAAAUGAUGCGCCAACAAAUACACCAAUCUUGUUUAGUACAAAAUGGGAUGCAGAUGAUUCCAAAAGACUGAUGGUCCACCAUAAUAUAUAGAAGCAACAGGAGGGAUAGCUGAUGAAGAAUGAUAUCCAUUCAAACAAUGGUGGUGUUCCUCAAG